UGCUUCCCAGCAAAGAUCAACCUCUGUUGAUCCGGUGGAAUACCCUCCUUGUCUUGGAUUUUAGCCUUCACAUUAUCAAUUGUAUCAGAACUUUCAACCUCCAGGGUAAUGGUUUUGCCAGUCAACGUCUUGACAAAAAUCUGCAUUCCACCACGCAGACGCAGAACCAAAUGAAGAGUUGACUCCUUCUGAAUAUUGUAGUCAGCCGAAGUUCUCCCGUCCUCAAGUUGCUUUCCAGCAAAAA
rnacentral:misc_RNA from 1 species